rnacentral:SRP_RNA from 1 species
GCCAGGCAUGGUGACGUGUGCCUGUAAUCCCAACUACUUGGGAGGCUGAGGCAGGAGAAUUGCUUGAACCCAGGAGGCAGAGGUUGCAGUAAGCCAAGAUCGUGCCACUGCACUCCUGCCUGGGCGACAGAGCAAGACUCUGUCUCAA